UGGGGAAUCUUGGACAAUGGGCGCAAGCCUGACCCAGCAACGCCGCGUGAAGGAUGAAGUAUUUCGGUAUGUAAACUUCGUAAGAAUAGGAAGAAUAAAUGACGGUACUAUUUGUAAGGUCCGGCUAACUACGUGCCAGCAGCCGCGGUAAUACGUAGGGACCAAGCGUUGUUCGGAUUUACUGGGCGUAAAGGGCGCGUAGGCGGCGUGGUAAGUCAUCUGUGAAAUCUCCGAGCUUAACUCGGAACGGUCAGAUGAUACUGCUGUGCUAGAGUACAGAAGGGGCAAUCGGAAUUCUUGGUGUAGCGGUGAAAUGCGUAGAUAUCAAGAGGAACACCUGAGGUGAAGACGGGUUGCUGGGCUGAUACUGACGCUGAGGCGCGAAAGCUAGGGUAGCAAACGGGAUUAGAUACCCCAGUAGUCCCUGAGCGGGCUGGCAAGGCGCAU
rnacentral:rRNA from 1 species